UCUACCAACUGCGUUUUUAUUUUUUUAUUAAGACUUUCUCUCCCAAUUCUAUACCACCAAUUAGCUGUAUUUACACAACUACAUCCAAUCAUAUCCUUUAAAAAAAGACACUGGGUUAAACAUUUAAAAUAAAAAAAAACACAAGUUAUCUACUCUCCGCUACUUCAGAUUACUCUGGGUGUGUGAUAACCCAUACAGUUCUCUGUGCAUCAUGGAACAGAGCACUGUCCACAAAGAUCAGUUUGAAUUUCGACCUUGGGUUUAUUAUUGGAGGAAAAAACAUGAACACAGAACAGAAAUAUUGGAUUGGAUUAAUAUUGUACAUGUAAAGCGUACUUCAUAUAGACCGUGGAUAUGUAGCUGAAUUACAGUACCGCAUUUAGUAAUAUAGAAUAUGUAAGCUGAAUUACAGUACCGCAUUUAGUAAUAUAGAAUAUGUAAGCUGAAUUAGAGUACCACAUUUAGUAAUAUAGAAUAUGUAAGCUGAAUUACAGUACCACAUUUAGUAAUAUAGAAUAUGUAGCUGAAUUACAGUACCGCAUUUAGUAAUAUAGAAUAUGUAGCUGAAUUACAGAUAUUGCAUUUAGUAAUAUAGAAUAUGUAGCUGAAUUACAGAUAUUGCAUUUAGUAAUAUAGAACAUGUAAGCUGAAUUACAGAUAUUGCAUUUAGUAAUAUAGAAUAUGUAAACUGAAUUAGAGUAUCACAUUUAGUAAUAUAGAAUAUGUAAACUGAAUUAGAGUAUCACAUUUAGUAAUAUAGAAUAUGUAAACUGAAUUACAGAAGUGUAUUUAGUUGAACAGCUGCAAUUAUGUGUGACUGGAUAUGAGAAUAAAAUUCAGAAAACUCAAAAACGUACAUACAGCACUACUUAUUAUAAGGUAUAACAUUGUACUACUAAUGUAGGUUAGAAUCAUCCCUUAUGUGAACAUUGACAUCCAAUUUGACAAUAUACAUUGAGGAACUUUAUGGAUUUGAUUUUACAAAAAAAAAAAAAUGUUUUCCAUAAAUCCCUGGAGAUAAAACAUGGGAGACAUAAAAGCCAGAAAACACAUACUCACUCAAAAUGAAUAUGGUCCCUCACCACGAUACAAAGUUAAGAGACGGUGGCCAGGUAUUAAUAUGGUCCCUCACCACGAUACAAAGUUAAGAGACAGUAGCCAGGUAUUAAUAUGGUCCCUCACCACGAUACAAAGUUAAGAGACAGUGGCCAGGUAUUAAUAUUGUCCCUCACCACGAUACAAAGUUAAGAGACAGUGGCCAGGUAUUAAUAUUGUCCCUCACCACGAUACAAAGUUAAGAGACAGUGGCCAGGUAUUAAUAUUGUCCCUCACCACGAUACAAAGUUAAGAGACAGUGGCCAGGUAUUAAUAUUGUCCCUCACCACGAUACAAAGUUAAGAGACAGUGGCCAGGUAUUAAUAUGGUCCCUCACCACGAUACAAAGUUAAGAGACAGUGGCCAAGUAUUAAUAUGGUCCCUCACCACGAUACAAAGUUAAGAGUAGCCAGGUUUUUCAUCCAAUUAGCAACAUAUUUUCACGCAAAUAUUCUAACAUUUGCCAUAAAACAAUAUUCACAUUUUUUUCACACCAGAGAUGUUUUUCCAUCAAACGUAAUUUGUGCGGAUAAAAGACUGUGUGGCGUAGUGCACAUAAAACACACCUUUUUCUCUUCAAUCCCCAAUAGAAGUUCAUUGGGUUUCCAUUGCGUUUUGUGAUGUGAGAGAAGUGUUAUAUAUAGCGAAUGUGUCCACUCUGGUCUCUAGCCAACAGUUCGCAAAUGCAGUGCAUUAUGAGAUGAUUUAUGGAUAAAAGCGAUAUAAUUUUUUUUUCAUUUUGUCAAACGGCAGCCAAGUAUCUAUCAACAUGUCACUGGAAUAAGACCCUGGAUAUGGAUUGGAAAGGCGCAUCAAGCUCAUCACCACCCGGUGAAGUUCAUCAUCAUUUAUUUCAUCUGUAGCUUAAUAAACUGUGUGGUUUCCCGAGUCGUAGUGGGGAGGACUACACAACAUAUCAUCGCCGGACUCCAAGUUGACGUCAAUACGAUGGUUAUUAUAUCAAUAAUUAAGUAUAAAGGCAUUUCCACUACCAUUUCUUGCAUAAUUAAUUUUACCGACACAAAAAAGAUCCCGCCAUGUCGAACGAACAAAUUGUCUGUCGGCAUUUCUACAAAUGUACCAGUAUUUAAUGUUUCCAUAAACCCAGUCGUAACUUCUUUCAUGUGUCAGGUAAUUCAUCCGCAUGAAAUGUUUGGAUGGAAACGUGGUUAGUGUCAGACAGAGAAGCAGUCAUAAUUACCAGAGAACAUCAUUGAAGUAAACAUACACAUUCACAAAACAAUAAAAAAUAAAUAUACAAUAAAAUAAAAUAAAAAGUACAUAACAACAUUUAUAGUACAUAUUAAAUGUCAAUUGUCUGACAAAAAAAAAACAGUUGGUUCGUGAAAGUAGGCGCUUUGGGAGGGGAAGGCUUUUGGUUGGUUAGUACUGGAGAGGGUUGUUAUGGUAACCAGCCGUGCUAGGCUGUGAUUGGUUGACAGUCAGCCAGGCUGGCCUGUGAUUGGUUGAAAGUCAGUGAGCGUGUCCAGAUCAGUCCUUGCCGGCAUCGAUCUUCUCUUGCCGUCGUCUCAUGAUCUCUUGGAGCUCUGAAUCCCCACUGCUCUUCUGGAAAACAGUAAUACAGGCUUUAGUUUCACACGUCCCAAACACUGAACAAAAAGAGAAACACAACAUGCAACAUUUGUAAAGAUUUUACUGAGUUACAGCUCAUAUAAGGAAAUCAGUCAAUUGGGAUGAAUUAAUUAGGCCCUAAUCUAUGGAUUUAACAUGACUGGGAAUACAGAUAUCCAUCUGUUGAUAACAGAUAUAUAUAUAUAUUUUUAAAGGUAGGGGCGUGAAUCAGAAAACCAGUCUGUAUCUGGUGUGACCACCAUUUGCCUCAUGCAGCGCGACAUAUCUCCUUCGCAUAGAGUUGAUCAGGCUGUUGAUUGUGGUCUGUGGAAUGUUGUCCCACUCCUCUUCAAUGGCUGUGCGAAGUUGCUGGAUAUUGGCGGGAACUGGAACACACUGUCGUACACGUCAAUCCAGAGCAUCCCAAACAUGCUCAACAGGUAUCGUGUCUGGUAAGUAUGCAGGCCAUGGAAGAACUAGGACAUUUUCAGCUUCCAGGAAUUGUGUACUGAUCCUUGAGACAUGGGGCCAUGUAUUAUCAUGCUGAAACAUGAGGUGAUGGCAGCGGAUGAAUGGCACGACAAUGGGGCCUCAGGAUCUCAUCACGGUAUCUCUAUGCAUUCAAAUUGCAAUCGAUAAAAUGCAAUUGUGUUUAUUGUCCGUACCUUAUGCCUGCCCAUACCAUAAUCCCACCAUGGGGCGCUCUGUUCACAACGUUGACAUCAGCAAACCGCUCGUCUACACAACGCCAUACACGGUACCAUCUGUCUGGUACAGUUGAAACUAGGAUUCACCCAUGAAGAGCGCACUUCUCCAGCGUGCCAGUGGCCAUCGAAGGUGAUCAUUUACCCACUGAAGUCUGUUACGACGCUGAACUGCAGUCAGGUCAAGAACCCGGUGAGGACGACGGGCACACAGAUGAGCUUCCCUGAGACAGUUUCUGUCCAGUUUGUGCGGAAAUUCUUCAGUUGUGCAAACACACAGUUUAAUCAGCUGUCCAGUGGCUGGUCUCAGACCAUCCCGCAGGUAGAGAAGCCUGAUGUGGAGAUCCUGGGCUGGUGGGGUUUCACAUGACCUGCGGUUGUGAGGCCGGUUGGACGUACUGCGAAAUUCUCUAAAACGACAUUGGAGGUGGCUUAUGGUAGAGAAAUGAACAUUACAUUCUCUGCUCCGGUGGACAUUCCUGCAGUCAGCAUGCCAAUAGUAUGCUCCCUCAAAACACCAGACAUCGGUGGCAUUGUGUUGUGUGACAAAACUGCACAUUUUAGAGUGGCCUUUUAUUGCCCCCAGCACAAGGUGCACCUGUGUAAUGAUCAUGCUGUUUAGUCAGCUUCUUGAUAUGCCACACCUGUCAGGUGGACGGAUUAUCUUGGCAAAGGAGAAACGCUCACUAACAGGGAUGUAAACAUAUUUGUGCACAACAUUUAAGACAAAUAACCUUCUUGUGAAAAAUGAAAAAUGUCUGGGAUCUUAUUUCAGCUCAUGAAACAUGGAUCCAACACUUUGCAUUUAUAUUUUUGUUCAGUGUAUGUGUAUUUGUAUCAGUACAUGUAUCUAUCCACUUAACUAUAAAAAGACAAAUGUGGGUCUCAAAGCCUUAAAACAGCCACACAAGGAGUGUGUGUGCGUA
ensembl:lncRNA